CUCAGCCAAUAGGCGGCAGGAGCCCGAGCUGCAGCCUAGAGUCACGCUUCUGCCUCCCAGCCACACAGUGGCCAAGAGCAGGGACCGGCUUCCUAGAGUGGCUGAAAGUGCUCAGACGGACAGCCAAGCCCAUCAUGGCGGACAGCGGGACAGUGGGUCGUGAUCAGGCACUUGGAGCCAGGCAGGGCAGGGGUCCCGAGGAGCUGGAGGCCCGAGGGCCCUACUCUGGUCCCAGGGCUUGGGGAUACCUACCACCGUGGGCCAGCAGGAGGAUGGACGUGGACUUGAUCCCGAGAGCCUGGCCUGGCCGCAGCAGCAGCUCUACAGAAUCAAGGCAAGCAUUGGGGCCCGGGUUUGGGAGUGGGGAGGAUGCCCAAGGCCAAGGCUAUCUACUGCUCACUCAGUGGCCGUGAUUGUUUCUUCUAAUGAUAUGAGGCUGAAUGGUCUGCGUCAGGGGCUGCUAGAGAGUCUCCAGUGCCCAGAGGCCCGAGGACCUGAGGCUGCAUUAGAUGGACAGAAGUGAACAUGAAACUUGUCCUGGGAUUUGGGGGGGGGCACUGUCUAUACCCCAGCCCCAGACCUGAGGCUCAGUGAUGAGUCUUGGAGGGGAAUUUGUCAGGCUUGGUCACCCUAGUAGCUAUAGUUCAAGUGGUUCCUUCUCUAUACAUAGCAAUCCUGGUCCUCGGUACUGUGCUAAGUCCUCUUAAGGGACAGGUGGCAGGGUUAGGAUCACCCCAGUCAGCUGGGUGGAAGAUAGCCUGUGGGUUUAAGAGUCUGAAGCCAGUACUACUGCUUUUGCCUGUGAGCCAUGAAGAAGGGACAAGGCAAUUGAGGGAGAACAAUGUCCAGAACAAAACAUGGCAGUGGCACUGGCAGCAGCAGUAUAAAAGCAUGUAGAUGGCAAGUGCAGAUGCAGCCAGUAUAGGGUGGUAUGGGUACCAGGAGUCCUCUGGCCAAGGUGAGGUCUGGGUGGGUGUGUACUAAGCCUAGGUAGGUCACAACUUCUUGUCUGCAAAAUGGACUACCUGAGAGGUGUCAGUGGCUGAUUUGACUGGUAGAUGUCAUUCUUAAGUGCAGUAAUUACUUGUGUUCACAUAUUUCUCCUUGGGAUGUGGCUGACCGAGGGUUGAGACCUGCCAAGUAGAGAGUUGGGCAUCUAUGUUCCUGUGGUGGGGCAAAAUGGAGUUGACUCGUUGCGCUUGCAGACUUAGCAAGAGAUGCCUUGCAGACAUUAUAAGUGUUAUGUGUGUAUUUGUGUGGAGGGCGACCAGCUACCCAGAAACUCUACUCUCUCAAUAGCAUCUGCGAUCAGAUAUGAGUGGUCUGCCUUUAGUGUACUGGCCUAGGGUUCAGUGAUGGCUGUGGUUGUUGAGCGCGCUCAGGGCUGUUUCCCAUGGCACCUUUCGGGACGAG
rnacentral:lncRNA from 1 species